CUACCUUUUUUCUUAGAAAGAGGUAAAUUUCAGAUAAAGUUUUGGUUGGGGCAACCGUGGAGAAAAAGAAUCCUCCAGUUAGUUAGGAAGAAAACCUUUCACCUAAAAAAUUUAGCGACCCAGUUACUCUGGUAAACGGAAAAAGUUACCGCAGGGAUAACAGCGUUAUCUUCUCUAAGAGCCCAUAUUGACGAGAAGGAUUGCGACCUCGAUGUUGGAUUGGGGUAACCAAAGGGUGUAGCAGCUCUUUAAGGUUGGACUGUUCGUCCAUUAACUCCCUACAUGAUCUGAGUUCAGACCGACGUAAGUCAGGUCAGCUUCUAUCUUCUAAAUAACCCUUCUAGUACGAAAGGACCGAAGGGAGGCCUUCAAUGACCAACGUUAAAAGGUAAAAAAACAAGAAAAAAAGUUAAUAAAUAUAUUUCUUAGUUAAAUCUAGGGAACGUCUAAAAGAGACGUGAAAACAAAUUCGCUUAAACCUACGUUAAAAAAAAAGUUUUAGGAUUUUACACAAGGGGACCCCCUUAUAGUUUUCCAGAAUUUUUAAUUUUAAGAAACAUGAAA
rnacentral:rRNA from 1 species